GAUGAACGCUGACAGAAUGCUUAACACAUGCAAGUCUACUUGAACUUCGGUUUGGGUGGCGGACGGGUGAGUAACGCGUAAAGAACUUGCCUCACAGAUAGGGACAACAUUUGGAAACGAAUGCUAAUACCUGAUAUUAUGAUUUUAGGGCAUCCUAGAAUUAUGAAAGCUAUAUGCACUGUGAGAGAGCUUUGCGUCCCAUUAGCUAGUUGGAGAGGUAACGGCUCACCAAGGCGAUGAUGGGUAGCCGGCCUGAGAGGGUGAUCGGCCACAAGGGGACGGAGACACGGCCCUUACUCCUACGGGAGGCAGCAGUGGGGAAUAUUGGACAAUGGACCAAGAGUCUGAUCCAGCAAUUCUGUGUGCACGAUGAAGUUUUUCGGAAUGUAAAGUGCUUUCAGUUGGGAAGAAAAAAAUGACGGUACCAACAGAAGAAGUGACGGCUAAAUACGUG
rnacentral:rRNA from 1 species